rnacentral:misc_RNA from 1 species
AAGUCGUAACCAGGUUUCCGUCGGUGAACCUGCGGAAGGAUCAUUAACAUCCGAACGUUAAAACAACCCUGUGAUUCAGCGUGUUCUUGCAGGACAUCAAAACAGCAAUCCCGAGUAAAUCAGGCGCUAAAGAAUUCCAGAUUUUGAUUUAGGGAAGUUCUGUGUACGUGGACGCUGCAAUUGAGCGCUAGAUAAAGCACCUGGGACCCUAGAGCACUCCUGUCUGAAAGCGGCAGGGCUCAAUGUUGGUGGCGCAGUCAACGAUCGCUGUAGGUCCACACGACCGGCGACCGGGGUGGAGGCGAAAGCUCCGGACUUGGCGAAAGCUGACUCCGUCAUAAAUCGAACAACUGUUAACAAUGGAUAUCUUGGUUCUC